CCAGACUCCUACGGGAGGCAGCAGUGAGGAAUAUUGGUCAAUGGGCGGAAGCCUGAACCAGCCAAGUCGCGUGAGGGAAGAAGGCCCUGCGGGUCGCAGACCUCUUUGGACGGGGAGCAAGGCCGCCGACGUGUCGGCGGAAGGAGAGUACCCGUAGAACAAGCAUCGGCUAACUCCGUGCCAGCAGCCGCGGUAAUACGGAGGAUGCGAGCGUUAUCCGGAUUUAUUGGGUUUAAAGGGUGCGCAGGCGGCCCGGCAGGCCGGGGGGAAAAUGGGGGGGCUAAACCCGGCCCAGCCGUCGGAACUGCCGGGCUAGAGUGGGCGAGAAGUGCGCGGAAUGCGUGGUGUAGCGGUGAAAUGCAUAGAUAUCACGCAGAACGCCGAUUGCGAAGGCAGCGCACCGGCGCCCUACUGACGCUAAGGCACGAAAGCGUGGGUAUCGAACAGGAUUAGAUCCCCCUGUC
rnacentral:rRNA from 1 species